GGCAGCUCGCGGGGAGAAAGAGAAGAAAGGCUGCCCUUGCAGCCUUGAAAGACAGAAGGAGCAAGCUGCCUUCUCUCUCGGUUAAAUCCUUCCAAACUUCUAUUUUAUUUUUGUGUUAAUAAUGUGUAAUUAAAUUUAUUUUGGCUAGAGGUUAAUUCAAAGCCAUGAAUAUAUUUGUAAUAUGAAUUGAUUACCUUCGGUUGUGAUUUCAUAAGUUGUGAUUUCAAUUUACUUAUCCGUUCGUAUAAAAACUGAUUUGUGUAUGUUGGUUGAGAGUGCACGCUUAAUUUACAUGCAUGAAUUUGAUGCUAGAAUAUAAGUGAAUUUCACCUAAUCGUUAUGAACUUAUUUUCACAAGUAGUAAAGGUUGCUAGUCACAAUCACGUUAAGUAAAUUCUUGGCAAGAGUAUCAUGCUUUUCAUAGUUACGAAUGUCUCGUCAAUGCUGCUUAUGUUUUUCAUAGAACUUAAUGAUUCUUGCUUGUAUCUCUAUUAUGCAAUUCAUGUAGGGAACUUGUAGGGAAUGUUUUGGGUUGUCGUAUGCAAUCAUCCAACCCAAUAACUUGUGGAAAAACUGAGGGUUAAAAAAGUGCUGUUCACGGUUAAUCUGGAGUAUUGAAAUUCACAAUUUAUUGAAAGAACAACUGAAAAUCAAUUUAGGUUGCAUAUGUGUCAUGUGUGGAGAAGAACCCUCUAGCUAGUCCGUCAUUUAUCAUUUCACCUUAAUUUCAUGUUUUUGUCAAUUCUGUAAUUUAAUUAAGUUUAAUUUAUUUUUCAUCAAAACCAAACACCCAUCCAUUAUUAAAUUAUAUUAUUUAGUUAGUUUUCUUUAUUGUUAGUCUUUUAAUUCAAUUUCCGUCCAUUUCAGUUCCUAGUGUUUAAUUUAAUUGUUUUCAUUAUUUUGAGUCAUUUUAAGUGUGUUUCGAGUUAUUAGAGUUUUUAGCCUAAUUUUGUGUCCUUGAGUCUUAUUUAAUAUUUUUAAAUUAAUUUAGAAUAGAUUAGCAAUCCCUCCUAAUCCCCGGCCUAGAACGAUACCCUACUUACAUCUAUACUACAAUUGUCAAAAAGAGGGUUUAAUUUGUGUGUUAAGUAAUUUUCGCAUCAAAUUUUGGCGCCGUUGCCGGGGAUUAGUAACUUUGCUAAUCCUUUUAUUUUUGUUUUUGUUUAUGUUUAUAUUGGUGUUUGUGUAUUUUACUUUUGAUAUUUGAUUUAUUUUUCUUUCUUUGAUUUUAGGCACAAAUGGAGCUGAGGGAAAUUUAAAGGAAAGAUGCGUCCGGCUAAAGACGUUAAAUCAAGCGCUUCUUGGGAGGCAACCCAAGCAUUCAACGAAGGGAGACUUUGGAAUCGCUAACCCAAUCAGAUUUACAUUUUUACACCCUUAUCUUUGCUGCUUUCAUUUUGUUUUGUUUAGUUAGUUGUGUUAUUUGGUUGAUUUCUGUGAGUUUGUAUUACUUAGUUUAAGUGUGGGGGAAGGUUAACCAAAGUCUCUUUACAUUAAUUUACAAAAAAAAAAAAAAAAAAAAAAAAAAAAAAAAAAAAAAUUAAAUUAAAAAAAAAAAAAAAAAAAGGGAUAAAAUUUAAAAUUAAUGAAAAAAAAAGUACAUAAAAAAAAAAAAAAAAAAAAAAAAAAAAAAAAAUUUAAAAAUUUAAAAAAAAAAAAAAAAAAAAAAAAAAAAUUUAAAAAAAAAAAAAAAAAAAAAAUGCAAAUAUUUUACAAUGAUGUAAACUAAUAGUAUUCAUUGGUCGGGUGGUGCUUCAGUAGUAGGCGGGGCUUCAGCAGUCGGCGGGGCCACAGAAGGAGGAGGCGGCAGAGGUUGAUCAGUUGGAGCUUCACUACGCGGUGCCGCUCCAGAAGACGAAGGCAGAUGCGGUUGGAACAAACCCACAAACCUCCGAUGAUCAAGUAAAAUUUGACCAUCGGUGUCCUGCAUCUGGUCAAUCUUCCUCUUCAUGCUGGUGGCAUAGCUGUGUGCGAGCUUGUGCAAUUCCUUAUUCUCAUGCUUGAGCCCUUUAAUCUCUUGCUUGAGACUCUGUAUUUCAGCCACCAAGGAUUCAACGUGACGGGUUCGGGCAUAUAGGCGUUGGGCCAUGUUGGAUAUGGAACCCGCACACUGCACACUGAGAGCCAGAGACUCCUUGACCGCCAAUUCAUCAGACCGCCUUGCGAGCAGUCUGUUAUCUCUGGGAGUGACAAGGUUUCGGGCCACCACCGCAGCGGUCAUGUCAUUUUUCAUCAUCGAAUCCCCCACGGUAAGGGGACCGGUAGGGGAUAUGAAGGAUGGCCGCCAUAUGUUGUCUGGUGAAGGCGAAGCUGCCUCUUCACCAAUGUUCAAGUCAAAACGACGAUCAGAAGGGCCAGACAUUUUUCAGAGGUGGUAAAGAAAGAAGAGAGUCGGAAUGAUCAAGAUUAAACAAGUGCAAGAAGGGAGUGUUUACAAGAGGGUACUCAAGUGUGUUGUGGAACAAGCUUAACGUCUCUAUAAAAAGGAAGAAAUCAAAGAGGCGCUCCUCAGAGAAGCGUCCUCUCGCAAAUCGAAGAGUCGGGGCUCCGUUCUCAAACGUCUGAUUCUUUUCUCAAAAGAGGAGUUUCCUUUCUCAAAAGCCGGAUUCUUUUCUCAAAAGAGGCGUUUCAUUUCUUAAAGGCUGGGCUUGCUCAGAAACCACGAGCCGAACCCCGGAUUUCAAAAGAUCAAUUUGUCCAGACGUGUCGUCACUUGUCACACGCAAAUUGCUUUGCGGAAAUCUCGGGCAAUUUGUCGAAGCACCAAUUCAGAAAUCGAAGAGGGAAAUUCAACAGUCAAAGACACGCUAGCUUUCUCAAAAGCUGGGCUUCAACCCACGGGAAAAUCUUCUUUUCCAGAUUUAUCCGCACGUGUCACAUGCUACCUCUACAAUCGACGAUGCUCAGAGCUCGAAGCGCCGAUUACAGAUAUCAAUGAGGAAUCAGCUUUGCGGAAAUUACGGGCAGCUUUGUCAGAAAGCGCGUAAUUUGUAUUCUUCACCCAUCCACCGGCUGCCGACACUAAGUGAGAGAACAGUUCCGGUUGUGAAGACAAGUCCUAUAAGUUUCUACCUUCGCCUUCCACAGCAAAAGCACACACUCUCUCAGCACACCCUCUCAACACCUCUUCAUCUCCGAAAAUGCAUUCCCAAAGAAUCCUCUCGAGUCACUCUGUGUUCCUCAUUCCUUGGGAUACUCCUGCGAACAACCCAUUCAAAGCAAAAAGUAUUUCAUAUCAUAAAGGUUGAAAGCAAGAGUAUCUCAUAUCAUGCUUUCUCCAUGUCCUUCUCCUUGUCUUUGUUUUCCGACAAGGAGAAAGAGAGCAAUCAGCCAGCAUUUGGUAUCAAUCUUCCAAUCUGGAGCCAACUGCCUGGAACCCUUUCCUGAUUGCUUACCUAGCCUUGCUCUCGAGUACUCAUCUUCUUCAUCUUAUGCUUCCGUUUUGUCUACCACAUCUACUUGGGGGACAAGUAAGGGAGGUGAAAAUGAGACCUCGAAGCAUGUGGAGACAAUUCAGCUAGGGACAAGGAGAAAGAAAGCAAGAGGUGGGCACUUGGAAAGAUUGAAGAAAGAAAUAAGGACCAACACCUUUCCCUCGUGCCUGCCCGUUUGUGCAGAAGAAACAAGCAGAGAAGAAUGCAGCUUGCACAAUCAUCCCAGCGGAAGGAGUCCGAACUGAGGAACUAGAGAAGCUGCCACAUUCUGCUUGGAGAACAAAUAAGGAACUGCAACAUUCCCAAAGAGCAAAGCUCCGCCGUACAAUAUCAUCAAAUAGUAAAAAGCUAAGUGUCACCCUGUUCAAGAGGAAAGCUGUGGAAAGUCAACAAGCACGACCAAUGAUUACUUAUUAGUUUUAUUCAUUAUCUUUUAUCGUAAUUUUCAAUUUUUCGUUUGCAUUUUUUUUAAUUAAUUUUCUUGCGUACUUAACUGAAUUAUUUCUUUUCUUUGCAGGAACUUUUAGUUAUUUCCACCCUUGAAGUUGAUUGCAGAAUUUUAGCUUGGGGGUCAUCGCUUGAUUUUACUGCAAAUUAGGGAAGUUUUCAGUCCAAUUGUUUUAUUUUGUUUCUUAUUUAUUUAUUUAUUUUAUUUUUAUUUGCAUUAUAGUGUUUUCUGACAUUGGGGACAAUGUCAAGUUUAAGUGUGGGGGUAGAAAUCUCCAGAAUUUCAUUUGUCUCUGUGUUGUUGUUUUUUUUUGUGUUCUUAAUUAGUUUUGUUUUCUUUUAAAAAAAAAAAAAAAAAAAAAAAAAAAAAAAAAAAAAGAAAUAAAAAUUUAAAAAAUCCAAAAAUAUUGUCUUGUUUCCCUUAUUGUUUUGAAUUAGAUUUUUUGUUAGUUUCCCGACCCAAUGAUAUAAUUGGAUAAAAUUUGAACCAUGAUCAUCAAGAACUUAGUUAACAUGUGUUUUGUGAAAUUCCUUAUUCUCUUGUUAGUUUUGUACAUGUUUGACCAUCUUUGAAAAACCAAAUGCACAUAGCCUUGUUAACGUGAAACUAAAGUAUGACUUAAAGCUUCAUAUGUGAAUUUAGUGACCAUAUACAUCCUAUGUGAGUUUUUGAGCCUAUUGAAAGUGUGUGCAUUUUUCAUACACUCCUAUUUUUUUAUGUGUGAUGAACUUAUGUGAUAUACAUCUCUAGAACUUGCGUAACGAUCUUUCGAAUUGUUUGUCAUUGAUUGCAUGAACUUGGAAAUGAUAGAGGCAUUAGGUUUACCACUAUGGCCCAAAUAACCAUGUUUCCCAAAGAAAAAUGAUAUCAUUAGUUUGCCAAUUUGAGCUGUGUAUGUUGAACCUUUUAUUUCUUAUCACCAGAUAUGUCUACCCUUAUACCUGAAACAUUUUUCAUUACCCUUUCCAAGCGAGCAAUGCGAGAUUGUCUUAUGAGAAACGUUUGUGAAGUACUUUGAAGGUGUUUGGCAAAAGAAUAAGUGUGGGGGUAUUUCAUGUUUGUAUAUAAAAAAAAAAAAAAAAAAAAAAAAAAGGAAAAAAGAGAAGAAAAGAAAAAGAAAAAGAAAAAUUGUACACAAAGAAAAUAAAAAGUUGUUCAAGUUUCAGUUUAAAGGUAUGGUUGGAGGUGCUAGAAGAAUCGCUGGAAAAAUUGAGUUCUUAUAAAUCUAAACAAAAGAAUUGCUUGCAAUAUAGCUUGGAACUUGUGUUUUCCUAUUCUUUCAUUUCAAUAACCCUAUCCCUAAGCCUCAUUACAUCCAAUAAAAGUCCUCUUGAUUUAAGUUUUGCAAUUAUGACUGUGGAGAAGUGAUCUUUAUGCAAGCUUAUGGUAGAAAUUUCACAUUUGAUUCUUUGAGCGAAACACAUUUAAACUAAACACAUGUGUGAUUGAGUGCAUAUCCCGUGAGAAGGUCGCUAGUUCGCAUAUGAUGAUUUUAAAAAUAAAAACUUGAAAUUGCAUUAGCAUGACUAUCUCACACACUACACUUCAAGGAUGAUUCAAAGAUUACUGCUAAUAUUUGAAUAAGGAAGAUGAACUUGAAUUAGUUGGUUUGAUGCUAGCUAUGGUUCUUGAUGAUUUGUUUUCUCGAAUGAAAUUCUUUGAGGGUCACAUAGGGGGAAGCUAAUGUUUUUCUUGUUACUUCUUGUUCUAGUUUUCUUUGUUUUGCUCGAGGACUAGCAAAAGUUAAGUGUGGGGGUAUUUGAUCGGAUCAUAUUUAUAUAUAUUUUUACUUCGAAUUCACUCGUCUUUUCUUAGUUAGUUCCUUAUAUUUUUGAGCUAUUUACGUUAUUUUUGUGUUUAUAGGAUUUGUUAUGCAAAGAAAAUAAAAAUAGAACAAGUGAAAUUUUAUGUAAUAAAUUCGUCAAACUGUCUGUGUAGAUCAUCUUUUAAAUAAAAUUAAUAAAAGAAAUAAUAAUGAUAAAUCAUGAUGAUGUUUGAAACAUCAUCAUGAUUCAUGUUUUGUUGCAGAAAAAAUAAGAGGAAGUCCACAGCGUCGGUGGGGAAGAGGGAACGCAGAAAGGAAGUAUUUCGUAUAAAGUGAUGAGCAAUUUUUAAUGAGAUGGGUGCUCUUCCUAGACGUGGCAGCGUGAAAGAAUCCAAGGAGAGGCACAGAAAAACGGUGCGGGGGAUAGAAAAUGGAAAAAGAAUAGAGAGAGACUGACGGGUGGAGAGAGCAGCAACAAAGGCAUGAGGGAAAUAAUAAAAUAAGAAGAGAAAUGUGACAGCACAAAAGAAAAAAGAAGAAAUAUAUGAAAGACAAGGGGGAAUAAGCGCGGGUGCGCACGGGAGAAGGGACUGCCCUUUGGGCAGUUCGCAGAGGAGACAGAAACAGAGGUCAGAAACGGAGAGAAGGGAAGGGGAGAGCUGCGGGGCAGCUGGAGAGACAGGAGUGAGGGACGGAUAGAAGCUGCCUUUGGCAGCUUGAGAGACAGCUGGCGGGGAGAAAGAGAAGAAAGGCUGCCUUUGCAACCUUGAAAAACAGAAGCAAAGCAAGCUGCCUUAGGCAGCGAGAAAGAAAGGCAGCUCGCGGGGAGAAAGAGAAGAAAGGCUGCCCUUGCAGCCUUGAAAGACAGAAGGAGCAAGCUGCCUUCUCUCUCGGUUAAAUCCUUCCAAACUUCUAUUUUAUUUUUGUGUUAAUAAUGUGUAAUUAAAUUUAUUUUGGCUAGAGGUUAAUUCAAAGCCAUGAAUAUAUUUGUAAUAUGAAUUGAUUACCUUCGGUUGUGAUUUCAUAAGUUGUGAUUUCAAUUUACUUAUCCGUUCGUAUAAAAACUGAUUUGUGUAUGUUGGUUGAGAGUGCACGCUUAAUUUACAUGCAUGAAUUUGAUGCUAGAAUAUAAGUGAAUUUCACCUAAUCGUUAUGAACUUAUUUUCACAAGUAGUAAAGGUUGCUAGUCACAAUCACGUUAAGUAAAUUCUUGGCAAGAGUAUCAUGCUUUUCAUAGUUACGAAUGUCUCGUCAAUGCUUAUGUUUUUCAUAGAACUUAAUGAUUCUUGCUUGUAUCUCUAUUAUGCAAUUCAUGUAGGGAACUUGUAGGGAAUGUUUUGGGUUGUCGUAUGCAAUCAUCCAACCCAAUAACUUGUGGAAAAACUGAGGGUUAAAAAAGUGCUGUUCACGGUUAAUCUGGAGUAUUGAAAUUCACAAUUUAUUGAAAGAACAACUGAAAAUCAAUUUAGGUUGCAUAUGUGUCAUGUGUGGAGAAGAACCCUCUAGCUAGUCCGUCAUUUAUCAUUUCACCUUAAUUUCAUGUUUUUGUCAAUUCUGUAAUUUAAUUAAGUUUAAUUUAUUUUUCAUCAAAACCAAACACCCAUCCAUUAUUAAAUUAUAUUAUUU
rnacentral:lncRNA from 1 species